rnacentral:lncRNA from 1 species
UGUUACAGACCUCUGUAGUACCUUUUGGUGGAGCAGAGCGUUGCCCUUUGAUGGCAUAUGUCUGAGACCUAAGACUGAGCUGAGCUGAGCUGUUGGAUCUCAUUCUUCAACCUUCUAAUUGAUCUCAUCAUGACUGUUAGUCAGCCUGUGAUGAACUCUAAUAAUCAACUGAAUAAAGAAAUAAUGAUUAUUUUACUUGAUUGGGAAAACAUGUAAUUUUAAUGUUGAUCUAAGAUUGCAGAUGAUGAUCCUGACUUGCAGACAUGAAGAUGAAUUCCUGGCCUUCAGAUACGUAGAUGACGACUCCCUGGACUUCACUCAUGAAGAAGAAUGAUUCUUGGGCUUGCAGACACAUCCACUAUGGCUUUCUCUGCCUGCAGAUGUGUUGAAUGCAGCUCUCCCAACUUGGAGGCAUAUACAAGGCAGCUUCUGGUUUACAGUCACAAAUAUUGUUUACCGGCCUGCAGUCGUGAAGGUGAUGGAUUCCUAAUCUGCAGGGACAAUGGAAAUCUCUUCCUACAACUUAUAAGCUUUCUUUAAAAAAUUGGUUAAAAAAACAAAAAAUCAAAUAAUACUAAUUUAUAAAACUAACUGAAAAUAAAUAUACAAUUGUUAUUCUAUCAUACACGUUAUUAUUUUCAAUUAUAUGCAUGUUUUUAUAUUAAAUUAAUAAGAGUACUCACAAGUCAGUUCAACUGGGUUUGCUACGUAGCUUGCAAUAUCGAGUAUGAAUACUACAAAGAUUUUUUAAGAUGUUCACAAAAUGGUGAUCAUAUUUAUCAUCAUAAAUGCAUAAAUAUAUCAGAAACUAAUUACAAAAAAAAAAAA